rnacentral:rRNA from 1 species
GAUGAACGCUGGCGGCGUGCCUAAUACAUGCAAGUCGAGCGAACAGACGAGGAGCUUGCUCCUCUGACGUUAGCGGCGGACGGGUGAGUAACACGUGGAUAACCUACCUAUAAGACUGGGAUAACCUCGGGAAACCGGAGCUAAUACCGGAUAAUAUAUUGAACCGCAUGGUUCAAUAGUGAAAGACGGUUUUGCUGUCACUUAUAGAUGGAUGCGCGCCGCAUUAGCUAGUUGGUAAGGUAACGGCUUACCAAGGCAACGAUGCGUAGCCGACCUGAGAGGGUGAUCGGCCACACUGGAACUGAGACACGGUCCAGACUCCUACGGGAGGCAGCAGUAGGGAAUCUUCCGCAAUGGGCGAAAGCCUGACGGAGCAACGCCGCGUGAGUGAUGAAGGUCUUCGGAUCGUAAAACUCUGUUAUUAGGGAAGAACAAAUGUGUAAGUAACUAUGCACGUCUUGACGGUACCUAAUCAGAAAGCCACGGCUAACUACGUG